GAUUAACGCUGGCGGCGUGCCUAAUACAUGCAAGUCGAGUGCACUUCGGGUGCACGGCAAACGGGUGAGUAACACGUGGGUAUUUGCCUCAUACUCAGGGAUAACCAGCCGAAAGGUUGGAUAAUACCUGAUAGUCUCGUAAGAGUAAAGAUUUAUCGGUAUGAGAGAAACCUGCGUCCUAUCAGCUUGUUGGUGAGGUAAUGGCUCACCAAGGCAAUGACGGGUAGCUGGUCUGAGAGGACGACCAGCCACACUGGGACUGAGACACGGCCCAGACUCCUACGGGAGGCAGCAGUCGGGAAUUUUGCACAAUGGCCGAAAGGCUGAUGCAGCGACGCCGCGUGAGGGGUGACGGCCUUCGGGUUGUAAACUUCUUUUAUCAGGGAAGAUUAUGACGGUACCUGAUGAAUAAGCUCCGGCUAACUACGUGCCAGCAGCCGCAGUAA
rnacentral:rRNA from 1 species